rnacentral:rRNA from 1 species
GAUGAACGCUAGCGGCAGGCUUAAUACAUGCAAGUCGAACGGGAUUCGGUGUAGCAAUACUUGCCGGCGACCGGCGCACGGGUGCGUAACACGUAUGUAAUCUACCCUUUACUGGAGAAUAGCCCGAAGAAAUUCGGAUUAAUGCUCCAUAAUAUCACUGGAAGGCAUCUUUUGGUGAUUAAAGUUCCGACGGUAAAGGAUGAGCAUGCGCGAUAUUAGCUAGUUGGUGAGGUAACGGCUCACCAAGGCGACGAUAUCUAGGGGUACUGAGAGGUUACACCCCCACACUGGUACUGAGACACGGACCAGACUCCUACGGGAGGCAGCAGUAAGGAUAUUGGACAAUGGUCGCAAGACUGAUCCAGCCAUGCCGCGUGCAGGAUGAAUGCCCUAUGGGUUGUAAACUGGCUUUUAUACGGGAAUAAACCCGGGUGUGUACCCGGCUGAAUGUACCGU